rnacentral:tRNA from 1 species
GCCUUCAUGGUGUAGUGGUCUGCAUGCUGGACUCGUAACCGAGAGGUCCGUGGUUCGAUUCCCGGCGAAGGCG